rnacentral:misc_RNA from 1 species
GUUGAUUGGCACCUUGAUUCGCACGCCGAACAGUGAGUGUCUUAUCACCCAUUUUAAUACCGUUGAGUGCUGCACAGGCUAUGUCUGUGACUGAAAGAUCUUGGUAAACACAAAAUGCGUAGCCUUUGGAAUUUCCAGUCUCUCUAUCUUUCACGAGAUCAAAACCUCGUAGGGGCCCAAAAGACUCCAGCAACUCCCUAACCUGAGCUUCUGUGAAGUAAUAGGGAAGUCCACCCACAA